rnacentral:rRNA from 1 species
GGCGGCGUGCUUAACACAUGCAAGUCGAACGGAAAGGCCCUGCUUGCAGGGUACUCGAGUGGCGAACGGGUGAGUAACACGUGGGUGAUCUGCCUUGCACUUCGGGAUAAGCCUGGGAAACUGGGUCUAAUACCGGAUAGGACCAUGCUUUAGUGUGUGUGGUGGAAAGUUUUUCGGUGCAAGAUGAGCCCGCGGCCUAUCAGCUUGUUGGUGGGGUAAUGGCCUACCAAGGCGACGACGGGUAGCCGGCCUGAGAGGGUGUACGGCCACAUUGGGACUGAGACACGGCCCAGACUCCUACGGGAGGCAGCAGUGGGGAAUAUUGCACAAUGGGCGCAAGCCUGAUGCAGCGACGCCGCGUGGGGGAUGAAGGCCUUCGGGUUGUAAACUCCUUUCGCUAGGGAAGAAGCCUUUUGGGUGACGGUACCUGGA